UACGGGGGGGCAAGCGUUGUUCGGAAUUACUGGGCGUAAAGGGUUUGUAGGUGGCUUGCUAAGUCAGACGUGAAAUCCCUCAGCUUAACUGGGGAACUGCGUCUGAGACUGGCAAGCUCGAGUGCAGGAGAGGAACGCGGAAUUCCAGGUGUAGCGGUGAAAUGCGUAGAUAUCUGGAGGAACACCGGUGGCGAAGGCGGCGUUCUGGACUGCAACUGACACUGAAAAACGAAAGCCAGGGGAGCAAACGGG
rnacentral:rRNA from 1 species